rnacentral:rRNA from 1 species
CGCCCGCUCAGACACUACAAGGAAUUGACGGGGGCCCGCACAAGCGGAGGAACAUGUGGUUUAAUUCGAUGAUACGCGAGGAACCUUACCCGGGCUUGAAAUGCAUCUGACCGGCCUUGAAAGAGGCACUCCCUUCGGGGCAGAUGUGUAGGUGCUGCAUGGUUGUCGUCAGCUCGUGCCGUGAGGUGUCGGCUUAAGUGCCAUAACGAGCGCAACCCUCAUCAUUAGUUACCAUCAGGUAAGGCUGGGGACUCUAAUGAGACUGCCAUCGUAAGAUGUGAGGAAGGUGGGGAUGACGUCAAAUCAGCACGGCCCUUACGUCCGGGGCGACACACGUGUUACAAUGGGUGGUACAAAGGGCAGCUACCUGGCGACAGGAUGCUAAUCUCGAAAACCGCUCUCAGUUCGGAUCGGAGUCUGCAACUCGACUCCGUGAAGCUGGAUUCGCUAGUAAUCGCGCAUCAGCCACGGCGCGGUGAAUACGUUCCCGGGCCUU